AUAUAUAUAUAUAGAGUCUUACUCCAAUAGAAACCACUUUAUUCUAGAAACUAAAAACCAAGCUGAAAUAUCACUAAAUCCUAAAGCAGAUACCACUAAAUUCUUAAACAACCCCAUCUCCACCUCCAUCUUCAUCAACCCCACCUCCAUCUUCACCAACCCCACCCCCACAUCCACCACUGCCACCACCUCCGUCGUCACCUCGUCCAUAACCACCAUCACCUUUAUGCCCCCUCCAUCUCCACCUCCAUUAUUUCUCUAACAACACAAUCUCCACCUCCAUCUUCACCAACCCCAUCUUGGUCGAUGCUUCAACCUCCUUCAGCCCCGUUCAUACUUCUUUCCCCACCUCGGCUCAACUUCAAAACGCGGCGGAGCCACCACUAUUCCGGCAACGCUCCAACCCCCUACUUCAAGCCGCACAUACCUUCGCUACAAUCAUCCUUUCUCCAUCUCUACCUUCACCUCCACCAUCGUCACUACCAUCUGAAUCGAAAUCGUGAACAGAUCUGGAAAUUUUGAGCAGUGUUUGGAACAUAUAUGAAGAUUCUGGGCGGCUUCUGCAAGUUUUCACUAAAUCUUACAACACUGAUCACUAAAUCGUAAAGAGAAUAUCACUAAAUUGUACUGAGAAUAUCACUAACUUGUAUUGGUUUCUAGUUUUUAUUUUAAAAGUGGUUUCUAUUUGAUCAUGAGCCUAUAUAUAUAUAUAUA
rnacentral:lncRNA from 1 species